UUGAAACAUCAGUUGUCAUAUUACCACUGAUGUUAAGCAACAUCGAGCUUGGUUAGUACCUAGAUGGGUGACCACUUGGGAAUACCAGGAGCUGAAA